rnacentral:rRNA from 1 species
GAUGAACGCUGGCGGCGUGCCUAAUACAUGCAAGUCGAGCGAACGGACGAGAAGCUUGCUUCUCUGAUGUUAGCGGCGGACGGGUGAGUAACACGUGGAUAACCUACCUAUAAGACUGGGAUAACUUCGGGAAACCGGAGCUAAUACCGGAUAAUAUUUUGAACCGCAUGGUUCAAAAGUGAAAGACGGUCUUGCUGUCACUUAUAGAUGGAUCCGCGCUGCAUUAGCUAGUUGGUAAGGUAACGGCUUACCAAGGCAACGAUGCAUAGCCGACCUGAGAGGGUGAUCGGCCACACUGGAACUGAGACACGGUCCAGACUCCUACGGGAGGCAGCAGUAGGGAAUCUUCCGCAGUGGGCGAAAGCCUGACGGAGCAACGCCGCGUGAGUGAUGAAGGUCUUCGGAUCGUAAAACUCUGUUAUUAGGGAAGAACAUAUGUGUAAGUAACUGUGCACAUCUUGACGGUACCUAAUCAGAAAGCCACGGCUAACUACGUGCCAGCAGCCGCGGUAAUACGUAGGUGGCAAGCGUUAUCCGGAAUUAUUGGGCGUAAAGCGCGCGUAGGCGGUUUUUUAAGUCUGAUGUGAAAGCCCACGGCUCAACCGUGGAGGGUCAUUGGAAACUGGAAAACUUGAGUGCAGAAGAGGAAAGUGGAAUUCCAUGUGUAGCGGUGAAAUGCGCAGAGAUAUGGAGGAACACCAGUGGUGAAGGCGACUUUCUGGUCUGUAACUGACGCUGAUGUGCGAAAGCGUGGGGAUCAAACAGGAUUAGAUACCCUGGUAGUCCACGCCGUAAACGAUGAGUGCUAAGUGUUAGGGGGUUUCCGCCCCUUAGUGCUGCAGCUAACGCAUUAAGCACUCCGCCUGGGGAGUACGACCGCAAGGUUGAAACUCAAAGGAAUUGACGGGGACCCGCACAAGCGGUGGAGCAUGUGGUUUAAUUCGAAGCAACGCGAAGAACCUUACCAAAUCUUGACAUCCUUUGACAACUCUAGAGAUAGAGCCUUCCCCUUCGGGGGACAAAGUGACAGGUGGUGCAUGGUUGUCGUCAGCUCGUGUCGUGAGAUGUUGGGUUAAGUCCCGCAACGAGCGCAACCCUUAAGCUUAGUUGCCAUCAUUAAGUUGGGCACUCUAAGUUGACUGCCGGUGACAAACCGGAGGAAGGUGGGGAUGACGUCAAAUCAUCAUGCCCCUUAUGAUUUGGGCUACACACGUGCUACAAUGGACAAUACAAAGGGCAGCGAAACCGCGAGGUCAAGCAAAUCCCAUAAAGUUGUUCUCAGUUCGGAUUGUAGUCUGCAACUCGACUACAUGAAGCUGGAAUCGCUAGUAAUCGUAGAUCAGCAUGCUACGGUGAAUACGUUCCCGGGUCU